AGCCAUGCAUGUGUAAGUCUAAAUAGUUUUAGUGUGAAACUGCCAAUGGCUCAUUAUAUCAUUUAUAGUUUAUUUGGAAUAGUUUGUAUAUGGAUAACCGUACUAAUUCUAGGGCUAAUACAUGUGUUUUCUUUGUUGGGUAACCAUUAAAGAAGUACUUAUUAGACAUAAAACCAUUUUCUUAAUGGUGAGUAAUAAAAAUUGUUUGACUUUAUCCCAUGCUUUUUUGUUAUAGCGAUGUUCCUUUCAAGUUUCUGCCCUAUCAUUUUUCGAUGGUAGUGUAUUGGACUACCAUGGCAGACCCGGGUAACAAAAAAUUUGGGUUCUAUUUCAGAAAGGGACCCUGAGAGAUGGCUACCACCUCCAAGGAACGCACCAGGCGCAUAAAUUUCCCUUUCCUGACACGGGGAGGCAGUGACAAUAAAUCUCAAUAAAACCCCUUUGCUUUUGUACUUGCAUUGAUAACAAUGCCCACUCUUUAUCGAUAAACAAUUGGAGGGCAAGUCUGG
rnacentral:rRNA from 1 species